rnacentral:rRNA from 1 species
UACGUAGGGUGCAAGCGUUGUCCGGAAUUAUUGGGCGUAAAGAGCUCGUAGGCGGUUUGUCGCGUCUGCUGUGAAAACUCGGGGCUUAACUCCGGGCCUGCAGUGGGUACGGGCAGACUAGAGUGCGGUAGGGGAGACUGGAAUUCCUGGUGUAGCGGUGAAAUGCGCAGAUAUCGGGAGGAACACCGGUGGCGAAGGCGGUUCUCUGGGCCUUACCUGACGCUGAGGAGCGAAAGCGUGGGGAGCGAAUGGGA